GAUGAAGAACGCAGCGAAAUGCGAUAAGUAAUGUGAAUUGCAGAAUUCAGUGAAUCAUCGAAUCUUUGAACGCACAUUGCGCCCGCCAGUAUUCUGGCGGGCAUGCCUGUCCGAGCGUCAUUUCAACCCUCGAACCCCUCCGGGGGGUCGGCGUUGGGGAUCGGCCCUCCCUUAGCGGGUGGCCGUCUCCGAAAUACAGUGGCGGUCUCGCCGCAGCCUCUCCUGCGCAGUAGUUUGCACACUCGCAUCGGGAGCGCGGCGCGUCCACAGCCGUUAAAUACCCAACUUCUGAAAUGUUGACCUCGGAUCAGGUAGGAAUACCCGCUGAACUUAAGCAUAUCAAUAAGCGGAGGA
rnacentral:misc_RNA from 1 species